rnacentral:tRNA from 1 species
GCAUUAAUGGGGUAGUGGUAACCUGGGUCGUUGCCAUCUGAGCACUAAGCUCGACCCGCCGGGGGUUCGAUUCCCUCUUAAUGCA